rnacentral:lncRNA from 1 species
AAACAAUGGGACAAUAUAUGCUAUAAUUACCAAGAAGAAGACUGCAUUUUUAUACAGUUAAAGUAUGAUAUGGGGAAUAAAUACCCUCAAUGCAGCCUUAUGGAGCUUUGGCUAGACCAUGAACAGUAGACAUCAAAAAGAUGCUCAUCUAAAGGGCCACAAGUGUUUGAAGCAUUGGUCAACAAUAAAAAGACUGAACUAUUUGAUGGAUCAUACAGAAUGUACAAUCACAAUUCCAGAAUCAGAGAAACAGAAGUAUCAAGGUAUUAGGGAGAUAGGAAAAUAUGCAUCAUGUACGAAGAACCUGCCUUAGAUUAAUUUGAAAAAUACAUUGAAAUCUCACAAUUGGUAAUGGAAGUUAAGAAAGGUGUGCUCUUCUGGAAAAUAUGUGUCCAGUCAGUACUGCAACAACACUUUUUUUUUUCAAUUUUCUGAGCAUAAUUCUACAUAAAAAUUGUAACAUGGUUACUUGUAUAAUACAAAACGUGUAAUCAUAUUUCCAGACAGAAAUUGGGAGAAUCAGAAAAGAAAUACCAAGAAUUAGGGAAAAAGAAAUAUCUGUCAUGCACGAAGAACCUGCUUUAUAUUGAUUUACACAAUACUUCGAAGCCUCAAAACUGUUAAUGAUUAUACAUACGGAAGAUUAAAAACGCACAUUUUGAUAAAUCAUCUACUGGCACAAUAUUUUUUUCAAUUCACUCAGCAUAGUUCUACAUA